rnacentral:rRNA from 1 species
CCCAAGAUGAGUGCUCCCAUGGCGUUAAGCCAGUAAGGUCACGGGAAGAACACCCGUUGAUAGGCGUUAGAUGGAAGUCCAGCAAUGGAUGUAGUCGAGACGUACUAACAGACCGAGGGCUUGUCCUU